GACGAGGGGUCCUAGCGUUGUUCGGAAUUACUGGGCGUAAAGCGCAUGUAGGCGGCUUGAUAAGUCGGGUGUGAAAUCCCUGGGCUCAACCCAGGACGUGCACUCGAUACUGCCAAGCUUGAGUAUGGGAGAGGGUAGUAGAAUUCCUGGUGUAGUGGUGAAAUACGUAGAUAUCAGGAGGAAUACCGGUGGCGAAGGCGGCUGCCUGGCCCCAAUACUGACGUUGAGAUACGAAAGCGUGGGGAGCAAACAGG
rnacentral:rRNA from 1 species